GGGAUGGCCCAUAUACUAAUAUUGGAAAGCAAAAGAAAAAAUCAGCAUGGCCUUUGGGCAGGUGUGACCUGCACAUUAAUGAAGUGCUCUAAAUUUUA
rnacentral:snRNA from 1 species